rnacentral:rRNA from 1 species
CUACGGGAGGCUGCAGUGAGGAAUUUUGCGCAAUGGGGGAAACCCUGACGCAGCAACGCCGCGUGAGUGAUGAAGGCCUUCGGGUCGUAAAGCUCUGUCAAGUGGGAAGAACCCACCCUGUGCUAAUAUCACAGGGUGCUGACGGUACCACUGAAGGAAGCACCGGCUAACUCCGUGCCAGCAGCCGCGGUAAUACGGAGGGUGCAAGCGUUAUUCGGAAUUACCGGGCGUAAAGGGCGCGUAGGCGGCCUUUUAAGUCAGAUGUGAAAUCCCGGGGCUCAACCCCGGAAGUGCAUCUGAAACUAAGAGGCUUGAGUAUGGGAGAGGGAAGUGGAAUUCCUGGUGUAGAGGUGAAAUUCGUAGAUAUCAGGAGGAACACCGGUGGCGAAGGCGACUUCCUGGACCAAUACUGACGCUGAGGCGCGAAGGCGUGGGGAGCAAACAGGAUUAGAUACCCUUGUAGUC